UACGUAGGGUGCAAGCGUUAAUCGGAAUUACUGGGCGUAAAGCGUGCGCAGGCGGUGAUGUAAGACAGAUGGGAAAUCCCCGGGCUCAACCUGGGAACUGCAUUUGUGACUGCAUCGCUGGAGUGCGGCAGAGGGGGAUGGAAUUCCGCGUGUAGCAGUGAAAUGCGUAGAUAUCGCUUGGAACGCCGAAGGUGAAAACAGACUGCUGGGGUUGCGCCGACGCUGAGACACGAAAGCCAGGGGAGCAAACGGG
rnacentral:rRNA from 1 species